UACAGAGGUCUCAAGCGUUGUUCGGAUUGACUGGGCGUAAAGGGCGUGUAGGCGGUUGGUCAAGUCCGAUGUGAAAGCCCGGGGCUCAGCUUCGGAAGUGCAUCGGAAACUAGCCAGCUGGAGCGCGAUAGAGGAGGGCGGAAUUCCUGGUGUAGCGGUGAAAUGCGUAGAUAUCAGGAGGAACACCGGCGGCGAAGGCGGCCCUCUGGAUCGUUGCUAACGCUGAGACGCGAAAGCGUGGGGAGCAAACAGG
rnacentral:rRNA from 1 species